rnacentral:rRNA from 1 species
GAUGAACGCUGGCGGCGUGCCUAAUACAUGCAAGUCGAGCGAACAGACGAGGAGCUUGCUCCUCUGACGUUAGCGGCGGACGGGUGAGUAACACGUGGAUAACCUACCUAUAAGACUGGGAUAACUUCGGGAAACCGGAGCUAAUACCGGAUAAUAUAUUGAACCGCAUGGUUCAAUAGUGAAAGACGGUUUUGCUGUCACUUAUAGAUGGAUCCGCGCCGCAUUAGCUAGUUGGUAAGGUAACGGCUUACCAAGGCAACGAUGCGUAGCCGACCUGAGAGGGUGAUCAGCCACACUGGAACUGAGACACGGUCCAGACUCCUACGGGAGGCAGCAGUAGGGAAUCUUCCGCAAUGGGCGAAAGCCUGACGGAGCAACGCCGCGUGAGUGAUGAAGGUCUUCGGAUCGUAAAACUCUGUUAUUAGGGAAGAACAAAUGUGUAAGUAACUAUGCACGUCUUGACGGUACCGAAUCAGAAAGCCACGGCUAACUACGUG